rnacentral:lncRNA from 1 species
UUAUUUUUAUCAAGAUUCUGGAAAUAGUUCAAGGAGAUAAAUAGGACUAUGUAUACAGCAUAAGGUUCUUGUACUUACAUAUAAGCAGUAGGGAGACCAGGAAUAUUAAACAUGUAAUACUGUCUGUCUCUUUAAGGGAAAAGAUGUAUAACCUAUUUUCCACCCACAAGUCUGGGAAUGGACAUAAUUAAUAUAGCCUGGUGACCUGUGCUAUCUUGAUCAUUGUUUCUCAGUCAGCAGAUCCUUAUAGCAGAUGUCACGUGUACUUUGCAAAUGGAGCAGAGCCUAUGUGACCUCUGUGCUUUCUGUAGGACCAGGCCACACCUGACUCCCUCAGACUUUCAUGUUUACCUCAGUCAUUCUCCCUAGAUCUUUAUCUAGAGCAUUGUUUCCCAGUCUAUAGAACCCAUCUUUAUAGAGGAAGUCACGUGUAGAAUGAAGAAUUAAAAUGUAAACAUGGCAUAAGCUUUGUUGUACACACAGGAUUCAGUUAAUUAUCAUCAUGGAAACUUUUUUCCAAAAUUGUCCUCUGCUUAAAUAUGCCUAAAAUAAACUGCCCAGUGUCAGACUUUAGUUGUUUGAACCAACACUGGCUACUGAGUUGUGGUAAACCAGAUUUCCUUCUUACCUUAUGUAGAUCAUCAAUCUGCUGGUCCUGGUAGUCACAGAAUCCCCCAUAGGAUUGUAAGCCUUCUAAACAAAAAGGAUAAUUUUUUUUUACCCCACUUAUGUCUAACCCCAAGGACUUUUCAUCAUAGAAGUUUCAACUUUUUAAGAUUUUUAUCUUGAGUAGUGGUUUGAAUAUGCUUGGACCACUGAGUGUCACUAUUAGGAACUGUGGCCUUGUUAGAGUAGGUAUGGCCUUGUUAGAGGAAGUGUGUCACUGUGUGGGUGGGCUUUGAGGUCCUUUACUUAAGCUCUGCCCAGUGUGGAAGCAGAGUCUCCUGGCUGCCCUUGGGUCAAGAUGUAGAACUUUUAGUUUCUUGUCCAACACCAUGUUUGCCUGGACCCUGCCAUGCUUUCUGCUAUGACAAUAAUGGACUAAACCUUGAAAUUAUUAAUUA